rnacentral:rRNA from 1 species
GAUGAACGCUGGCGGCGUGCCUAAUACAUGCAAGUCGAGCGAACAGACGAGGAGCUUGCUCCUCUGACGUUAGCGGCGGACGGGUGAGUAACACGUGGUUAACCUACCUACAAGACUGGGAUAACUUCGGGAAACCGGAGCUAAUACCGGAUAAUAUAUUGAACCGCAUGGUUCAAUAGUGAAAGACGGUUUUGCUGUCACUUAUAGAUGGAUCCGCGCCGCAUUAGCUAGUUGGUAAGGUAACGGCUUACCAAGGCAACGAUGCGUAGCCGACCUGAGAGGGUGAUCGGCCACACUGGAACUGAGACACGGUCCAGACUCCUACGGGAGGCAGCAGUAGGGAAUCUUCCGCAAUGGGCGAAAGCCUGACGGAGCAACGCCGCGUGAGUGAUGAAGGUCUUCGGAUCGUAAAACUCUGUUAUUAGGGAAGAACAAAUGUGUAAGUAACUAUGCACGUCUUGACGGUACCUAAUCAGAAAGCCACGGCUAACUACGUG